AUUGAACGCUGGCGGCAGGCCUAACACAUGCAAGUCGAACGGUAGCACAGAGAGCUUGCUCUCGGGUGACGAGUGGCGGACGGGUGAGUAAUGACUGGGAAACUGCCCGCUGGAGGGGGAUAACUACCGGAAACGGUAGCUAACAACGCAUAACGUCGCCAGACCAAAGUGGGGGACCUUCGGGCCUCCCACCAUCGGAUGUGCCCAGAUGGGAUUAGCUAGUAGGUGGGGUAAUGGCUCACCUAGGCGACGAUCACUAGCUGGUCUGAGAGGAUGAACAGCCACACUGGAACUGAGACACGGUCCAGACUCCUACGGGAGGCAGCAGUGGGGAAUAUUGCACAAUGGGCGCAAGCCUGAUGCAGCCAUGCCGCGUGUAUGAAGAAGGCCUUCGGGUUGUAAAGUACUUUCAGCGGGGAGGAAGGCCGUGAAGUUAAUAGCUUCACCGAUUGACGUUACCCGCAGAAGAAGCACCGGCUAACUCCGUGCCAGCAGCCGCCGUAA
rnacentral:rRNA from 1 species